GAUUUCUGGCCUGAAACAUUUUGCCGGCCACGGUUUCGUGUGUUAGUGCUUUGUGUUCUGGCCAUCCUUCCAAUCGCUAUUCAGCUUUCUUCAUUGAUUGUUGAGUGGUAUUGGAUCUUUUACUUUGAAAAAAUUAGAGUGUUUAAAGCAGGCUUUUUGCUAUGAAUACAUUAGCAUGGAAUAAUAAUUUAGGACUUUGGCCCUAUUUUGUUGGUUUCUAGGACUGAAGUAAUGAUUGAUAGGGAUAGUUGGGGGUGCUCGAAUUCAGCGGCCAGAGGUGAAAUUCUUGGAUUCGCUGAAGACGAACUCAUGCGAAAGCAUU
rnacentral:rRNA from 1 species